rnacentral:rRNA from 1 species
UACAGGGGGUGCAAACGUUGCUCGGAAUCAUUGGGCGUAAAGCGCACGUAGGCGGUUCGUUAUGUCGGAUGUGAAAGCCCUUGGCUUAACCGAGGAAGUGCAUCCGAAACUGGCGAGCUAGAGUACUAAAGAGGAUCGCGGAAUUCCCGGUGUAGAGGUGAAAUUCGUAGAUAUCGGGAGGAACACCGGUGGCGAAGGCGGCGAUCUGGGUAGAUACUGACGCUGAGGUGCGAAAGCCGUGGGGAGCAAACAGGG